AGCGAACGCUGGCGGCAGGCCUAACACAUGCAAGUCGAACGAACCUUUCGGGGUUAGUGGCGGACGGGUGAGUAACACGUGGGAACGUGCCUUUAGGUUCGGAAUAACUCAGGGAAACUUGUGCUAAUACCGAGUGUGCCCUUCGGGGGAAAGAUUUAUCGCCUUUAGAGCGGCCCGCGUCUGAUUAGCUAGUUGGUUGAGGUAAUGGCUCACCAAGGCGACGAUCAGUAGCUGGUCUGAGAGGAUGAUCAGCCACAUUGGGACUGAGACACGGCCCAAACUCCUACGGGAGGCAGCAGUGGGGAAUCUUGCGCAAUGGGCGAAAGCCUGACGCAGCCAUGCCGCGUGAAUGAUGAAGGUCUUAGGAUUGUAAAAUUCUUUCACCGGGGACGAUAAUGACGGUACCCGGAGAAGAAGCCCCGGCUAACUUCGUG
rnacentral:rRNA from 1 species